rnacentral:snoRNA from 1 species
AGCCUCUUUCUAGAUGAGAAUGACACUGUUGAUGAUCAUGGUGUCCGAAAAUUGUAAGUAUGGCUAAAUUGAAACAGUUUAUGCUUCCAUAACAGUAUAUAUAUUGCAGUGGUGACAAUGAGACAUGAAAUAUUU